rnacentral:misc_RNA from 1 species
CGCACCUUGCGCUCUUUGGUAUUCCGAAGAGCAUGCCUGUUUGAGUGUCAUGAUAUUCUCAACCUUAAUAUUAUUCUAUUUUGUUAAGGCUUGGAUUAUGGGAGCGUGCUGGUUUAUCUGGAAAUCAGCUCUCCUUAAAUAUAUUAGCAGGGUGAAUCAAUCACACCUUUGAUAUGAUAAUUAUCUUAUAUCAAUGAUUGAUACUAAUACUCAGCUUCUAAUCAUUCAAAUUAAAUCUCAUUUGACCUCAAAUCAGGUAGGAUUACCCGCUGAACUUAA